ACCUUUAAGGCUUUUGAGUACAAGUCCCAACUCUUCUGUGCAGUGGACCCUCUCCACCCCCGUCAACGCUGCCGCCCCGUCCUUCCCUGACCUGGGCCCGUCCCACAGCUCCCUGGCCGGGUCCCUGCGGGGUACAAAGAGGAUGGCUUGGUCCGGGCGGCCGGUACCACACAGAACCAGGGCGCUGUCUGGCUCAAGGAUGCCUGUGAGGUAGAGGAAGUCCUGGUUCUGGUGGAAGGGGUAGGGGAUGUCAUUGGUCAUGUAGCGGAUUGGGUGGGAGAGGACUAUGACGAGGUGUUUGUUGGACGAAACAGUGGGUCCCAGCCGAUCUGCUUGAACCUCAAUGAGAGAGGCCAGUCUUUGCCGACGGAGAUCAAACUCUGUUUGGGUUAAGCCAGGGGUCACCUCACCUGUGACAGAGAGCAAGAAGGGGAAGAAGUUAUAAACCCACCAUUCAAAACUCCCUGAAGCGACAGCUCUGUACUACACAACAGUAUUCAUAGCCAUAGUUUGUGGUUGUGAAUAGGAUAACAAUGAGCUUUGAUUUCAGGUAAAUGCUGUAGAGUAACUGAUUGGCAGAAAUGGGAAAUAGCUGUAUGCCCAUGAGUACAUAAACCAUUUUUUAUGAGGUGUGGAUGAGUGAAGGGGCUUAGCUGGCCGAGGUAUCUUGGUGGAACCUUCUGCGGUUUCCACCCUUCUGGUUUAACGGAGACAUUCCGGCAUGGGCACCACAGAUGACCUGCAGAGAGGUUACCAGUGAGGGAAAAGUUUGCUUAUAAAUUCACAGUUCUUUUUCACGUAGGUCUUAAAGAAUCUUCCACAAUCAGCUGGCCAUACAAAUCUACCGUAUUUAAGACCUAUAAUAAAAGUAUGACAUUAUUGGGGAAUAACAUGCAUUAUGCCUUCCAUCUUGCUGAGGCAAGCAUUUGUGUUAUACAAACAUAACAUGUGAAAUUAGCUUGCAUAAAUCAUGGGGAAGAUCUCAAUUGCAUACUCCACGCG
ensembl:lncRNA